rnacentral:rRNA from 1 species
CACGUAGGGUGCGAGCGUUGUUCGGAUUUACUGGGCGUAAAGGGCGCGUAGGCGGUCAGCACAAGUCAGUUGUGAAAUCUCCGGGCUUAACUCGGAAAGGUCAACUGAUACUGUGCGGCUAGAGUGCGGAAGGGGCAACUGGAAUUCUUGGUGUAGCGGUGAAAUGCGUAGAUAUCAAGAGGAACACCUGCGGCGAAGGCGGGUUGCUGGGCCGACACUGACGCUGAGGCGCGAAAGCCAGGGGAGCGAACGGG